rnacentral:rRNA from 1 species
CUCCGAGCUGCUAGAGCCUGCAAAUUCGCUAGAUAUUCGGCCAAGCAACACCAGUGGCGAAGGCGGCUUCACUGGCUCGGCUACUGACGCUGAGGUGCGCAAAGCGUGGGGCAGCAAACAGGAUUAGAUACCCUGGUAGCCCACGCCGUAAACGAUGGAAGCUAGCCGUCAGGAUGCAUGCAUUUUGGUGGCGCACGUAA